rnacentral:rRNA from 2 species
UGUUUCGGCUAGGGGGCCAUCCCGGCUUACCAACCCGAUGCAAACUGCGAAUACCGGAGAAUGUUAUCACGGGAGACACACGGCGGGUGCUAACGUCCGUCGUGAAGAGGGAAACAACCCAGACCGCCAGCUAAGGUCCCAAAGUCAUGGUUAAGUGGGAAACGAUGUGGGAAGGCCCAGACAGCCAGGAUGUUGGCUUAGAAGCAGCCAUCAUUUAAAGAAAGCGUAAUAGCUCACUGGUCGAGUCGGCCUGCGCGGAAGAUGUAACGGGGCUAAACCAUGCACCGAAGCUGCGGCAGCGACACUGUGUGUUGUUGGGUAGGGGAGCGUUCUGUAAGCCUGUGAAGGUGUGUCGUGAGGCAUGCUGGAGGUAUCAGAAGUGCGAAUGCUGACAUAAGUAACGAUAAAGCGGGUGAAAAGCCCGCUCGCCGGAAGACCAAGGGUUCCUGUCCAACGUUAAUCGGGGCAGGGUGAGUCGACCCCUAAGGCGAGGCCGAAAGGCGUAGUCGAUGGGAAACGGGUUAAUAUUCCCGUACUUGGUGUUACUGCGAAGGGGGGACGGAGAAGGCUAUGUUGGCCGGGCGACGGUUGUCCCGGUUUAAGCGUGUAGGUGUGUGUUCCAGGUAAAUCCGGUUCACUUUAACACUGAGGCGUGACGACGAGGCACUACGGUGCUGAAGCAACAAAUGCCCUGCUUCCAGGAAAAGCCUCUAAGCAUCAGGUAACAUCAAAUCGUACCCCAAACCGACACAGGUGGUCAGGUAGAGAAUACCAAGGCGCUUGAGAGAACUCGGGUGAAGGAACUAGGCAAAAUGGUGCCGUAACUUCGGGAGAAGGCACGCUGACACGUAGGUGAAGUGAUUUACUCAUGGAGCUGAAGUCAGUCGAAGAUACCAGCUGGCUGCAACUGUUUAUUAAAAACACAGCACUGUGCAAACACGAAAGUGGACGUAUACGGUGUGACGCCUGCCCGGUGCCGGAAGGUUAAUUGAUGGGGUCAGCGCAAGCGAAGCUCCUGAUCGAAGCCCCGGUAAACGGCGGCCGUAACUAUAACGGUCCUAAGGUAGCGAAAUUCCUUGUCGGGUAAGUUCCGACCUGCACGAAUGGCGUAAUGAUGGCCAGGCUGUCUCCACCCGAGACUCAGUGAAAUUGAACUCGCUGUGAAGAUGCAGUGUACCCGCGGCAAGACGGAAAGACCCCGUGAACCUUUACUAUAGCUUGACACUGAACAUUGAGCCUUGAUGUGUAGGAUAGGUGGGAGGCUUUGAAGUGUGGACGCCAGUCUGCAUGGAGCCGACCUUGAAAUACCACCCUUUAAUGUUUGAUGUUCUAACGUGGACCCGUUACCCGGGUUGCGGACAGUGUCUGGUGGGUAGUUUGACUGGGGCGGUCUCCUCCUAAAGAGUAACGGAGGAGCACGAAGGUUGGCUAAUCCUGGUCGGACAUCAGGAGGUUAGUGCAAUGGCAUAAGCCAGCUUGACUGCGAGCGUGACGGCGCGAGCAGGUGCGAAAGCAGGUCAUAGUGAUCCGGUGGUUCUGAAUGGAAGGGCCAUCGCUCAACGGAUAAAAGGUACUCCGGGGAUAACAGGCUGAUACCGCCCAAGAGUUCAUAUCGACGGCGGUGUUUGGCACCUCGAUGUCGGCUCAUCACAUCCUGGGGCUGAAGUAGGUCCCAAGGGUAUGGCUGUUCGCCAUUUAAAGUGGUACGCGAGCUGGGUUUAGAACGUCGUGAGACAGUUCGGUCCCUAUCUGCCGUGGGCGCUGGAGAACUGAGGGGGGCUGCUCCUAGUACGAGAGGACCGGAGUGGACGCAUCACUGGUGUUCGGGUUGUCAUGCCAAUGGCACUGCCCGGUAGCUAAAUGCGGAAGAGAUAAGUGCUGAAAGCAUCUAAGCACGAAACUUGCCCCGA